ensembl:lncRNA
AUGUGUAAGAAUGAGAAUUUAAUAAAAUGCAUUGAAAAGGGUAAAAUAAAAACAUUUAAAAAGAAGUUUAAUGAUAACAAGUUGGAUGACAGCGAUAAAGACAGCGAUAAAGACAGCGAUAAAGACAGCGAUAAAGACAACGAUGAUGACAGCGAUAAUGACAGUGAUAAUGAUAAUAUAGAAGACGAUUUUACUGAUAUGAAAAGAGGUGUGAAAUACCCUAAGUAUAUAUCUAAUAAUAAUAAUCGUUUUUUUAACGAUGUAAUACAUAUUUACGUAAAACAACAAUAUUAUAUCUAUAGCAUUAUAGAAUAUAAUUUAAAAAAAUUAGACAUACAAUUUUCUAAUUCACAUAUACCAAUUUGUAAAAAUAAAAUUAUAAAAUUAAUAAAACUAUAUUAUUAUAUUGAUUUCGAUUUAGAAGAAGAAAUUAUAAAACAUAAAAAUAUUAAUAAUUUAGGAAAAUAUACAAAAGAAUUUAGAAAAAUUACAAAUAUUCAUAAACGUUCAAUAAAAAGACAAAUAGAAAAUAUAAAAAGAUUAUGGAUAUAUAUAUUACAAGUUUAUGAAACAAGAUUUGUAAAUAUAAAUAAAUUUUAUAAAAGAAGAAAACUAUUUUGUUUUAAUAUAAUAAAAUUUUUUAAAAAUAAUUUACAAUUAUAUUAUAGUUGUUUAAGGGGAAAUACAGAAGUAGACAUGAAUGUUUAUUAUUACAACCGAUCAUUUGUAUUUAUAAAAAAAAGAAAAAAAAAAAGUAAAAAAAUAAUGGAAGAUGAAGAUGCAGAGAAGGUGGAAGAAGGAGAAGACAAUCGAACGAAUCAAACAGAGCGAAUAAGCGAACUAUAUAAAAAUAAAUCAAAAGUGAAAACUGGUACUAGUAGUAUAUGUAAAAGUACUAGUAAUACUACUAUUUUUCACAAAAAUACACAUAAUGAUCAUAACUUGAUAAAAAAUUUAGAAAGUAUGUUAGGUAUUUAUUUAGCAAAACGUUAUUUUCACUUAUUUUGGAUUAUUGUAUAUUACAUAGAAAUGCCUAAAAAAAACUAA